rnacentral:lncRNA from 1 species
AAAAAGUAAUGGCUAAUUAUUUUAAGGGUCGAAAUAAAAUUAGGCCAUAUAGUCUCAAAGUUGGGUUUCAAAGGAUAAAACUUUACCAUGGUGGGCUUGAAAGGCUCAAACGGUCCAAAGAAUAGUUGCCUAAAUCAUUUCCAACGUUUCAUGCUUCUUAGGAUUUCGCCUCAAGAAACUACUAAGUCAAUUCUAAAGACUUAAACUUUCAUGAUUACCUAACUUUCCUAAAGAACUAAAAAUUUUAUGGUACGAAUUUGCA